rnacentral:rRNA from 1 species
GACGAACGCUGGCGGCGUGCUUAACACAUGCAAGUCGAACGGAAAGGCCCUGCUUUUGUGGCGCUCUCGAGUGGCGCACGCGUGUGUAACACGUGAGUAACCCGCCCCUGUCUUUGGGAUAACUUCAGGAAACUGGGGCUAAUACCCGAUAGGAGCUCCUGCUGCAUGUGGUUGGUUGGUAAGUUUCGGGGUUUGUGGAUGGGCUCGCUGCAUAUCAGCUUGUUGGUGGGGUAGUGGCUUACCAAGGCUUUGACGGGUAGCCUGCCUGAGGGGGUGACCGGCGAACUUGGGACCGAGGGACGGCCCCGAUUCCUACGGGAGGGAGAAGGGGGAAAGAUUGCAGAAGGGGCGGAGGCUGGAUGAAGCAAGGCUGCGGGCGGGAUAACGGCGUUCGGGUUGAAAACCACUUUCGCAUGUAACGAAGCGUGUGUGAAGGUAAUGUGUAAAGAAGCACAGGCUAAAUAAGUG